GAAGCGCUUCGCCAAGGUAAUGCUGGUAUUGUUGAAUAUGCCUACCAAAGGACUAAAAAUUUUGAGAGGUUGUCUUUCCUUUAUCUCGUAACUGGGAAUCUGGAAAAGCUUACCAAGAUGCUGAAAAUUGCUGAAGUCAAGAAUGAUGUCAUGGGUCAGUUUCACAAUUCCCUUUAUUUGGGUGAUGUUCAAGAGCGUGUCAA
rnacentral:misc_RNA from 1 species